CAGCAGCCGCGGUAAUACAGAGGGUGCGAGCGUUAAUCGGAUUUACUGGGCGUAAAGCGUGCGUAGGCGGCUAAUUGAGUCGGAUGUGAAAUCCCCGAGCUUAACUUGGGAAUUGCAUUCGAUACUGGUUAGCUAGAGUGUUGGAGAGGAUGGUAGAAUUCCAGGUGUAGCGGUGAAAUGCGUAGAGAUCUGGAGGAAUACCGAUGGCGAAGGCAGCCAUCUGGCCUAACACUGACGCUGAGGUACGAAAGCAUGGGGAGCAAACAGUAUUAGAUACCCCCGUAGUCCCUGUCUAUUAUAA
rnacentral:rRNA from 1 species